rnacentral:sRNA from 1 species
CAGGAGCCACAGUGAGCAAGAAGGAAAGAAGUAUGAGAUGAGAAUAAUAAUGCUUUUAUUGAGCAUUAUUGUAAUGCCAGGCAUUGUCUAGGCCCUUUGUAUUAUCUCAUCUAAGCUUCAAAGUAGUUGCAAGUAGGUGCUCAGUUUCCUCUUUCCUAUGCAAAGGCAUAGAAGAGAGAGUGAGGAAAGGAAAACAUGUAUUGACUACUGUCAGGACCUUUAAUCCUGAACAACCCUGUAAGGUGUUCUUAUCCUAUUGAAUAGAUAAUCCAGAAGAUACCCUGUAAGGUAGGUAUUCUUGUCUAAUUUUUACGGAUAAGGAAAGCUUCUUAAUAGUAAGAUUAAGUUCCUACAGCUGGUAAUGGAUCCAUGAUUUGAAUCCAGGUCUGACUCCAAAGCUAAGCUUUUUCCAUUAGGAAACAUUGCCUCUAACAAGCAUGAUCUUUUCUUUUUGCUUCUCCUAUUGCAGACAAGGGACUAUCAGGAAAACGCACCAAAACUGAGAACUCAGGUGAGGCAUUAGCUAAAGUGGAGGACUCCAACCCUCAGAAGACUUCAGCCACUAAAAACUGUUUGAAGAAUCUAAGCAGCCACUGGCUGAUGAAGUCAGAGCCAGAGAGCCGACUAGAGAAAGGUGUAGAUGUGAAGCAUUGAGGAUCUCAAAGCACAGCCCAAACAGACAACAUGCUGGGACGGUGUUCGUAACUACCAGGCUCGGAACUUCCUUAGAGCCAUGAAGCUGGG